rnacentral:ncRNA from 1 species
ANUUUUCUAUAUAUAUAANUUUUUUUUCGCAAAUCAUUAGCAACAGGGAAAGUUGUGGAAUUCAACUACAGUCCCCGCUACUGUAAGUGCAGCAAAGUGGAUUAAGAUCCAUUCAAUACAUAUUAUUGGAGAAGGCAAUCCUAAUGAUACUGCAUAAGUCAGGAGACCUGAGCCAUUGAUANUUUUUUA